ACCCGGCUUGGCGGCCCGGGCAGCCCUGGGACCCAGCCGGGGUGAAAAUGAGGGGAAAGGCCUGGGCUCGCGUCUCUGGGGAGGCGGGAAGAGGAAGAAAACACACGCCUACGUGCCCUCUGCGUCGAACGGCCCGGCGGUGAACGCUAGAGCCCGGGAGCCCGCUCGCCGCGUUUUGUUUCCCCAGUUCCACCUUCCCUUCCCUUGCCGGAGUUCCGGCCUAACUUCCACAGGCCCCUCUCGAACCUCUACAACGCGAACCGCACCGGGACUGAGCCCUUAGAGACUGUCCCUUCUCGCGCUCGCCUUCUGCCACCCCCGGCGAAGGGUCGUACCUCCGGCUGGCCCCCAGCCUCAGCGCGCCCUCUGGGUGUGUAAGGCUAAUUCAACAUGCAUUUACUGAAGAAGGAGAGUCCUGUGGCCACAUUUUUCUCCAGCUCAUCCUCGGCAGAGAAUUAUAAGCCAAAGUUUACUUAAAUCAAGAAUGGGGAGCAUCCAGCCUGCAGGCCUUAGACAGCCUUCAAGAUAAUUUGUUUGGUCCUGACAAGGCAACACAGCAGACCCACGUAAUACUCAAGCUGUCAGAUAUGAUGGCCCGUGGACUCAUUCUGAGACGAUGACUUCAGGUGGACGUGAGUGCAGAUUAUGAUACCCAGCACAUAGUGGCCUCUCAAGUCGUGAUGCUAAAUUGUAUACUGCAUGGAAAGCACUCUAACAGUAAGU